GGGACUGUUAGGUUUCUACAUAUCAUACAAAAUGUUUAGUUAAUAGGGAAUGAAACAUGGCCGAACUUUAUCAUGUUUAGGCUUAAAGUAAAUGCAAAACAUCAAAUAAUCCCUUUCUCUAAAAAUACUGUACUAACAUAAUUAGUAGUUAUAUUAUUCGUUCAAUAUCUUUUAGAGUAUUAUAAAAUGAAUUUCAUAUUAUUUUAUAAUUAGUUACUUAAUGAAUGCGCUUACCAAUCAUUAGGAUAAGCUAAGUUUUCACGCUCACUAAUAAUUUAAAUAUUAUCCCUUUUGCUUAAAUAUAUUAAGUAGACUUUACAUUUUGUCUUAAUAUGGACGUGGGUUCAAAUCCCACCA
rnacentral:tmRNA from 1 species